GAUCCCCUAGGAGGCUAGUUUAAAGUUUUACAUCUUAAAAAGAUAUUGAUUUCAAAGAAAAGAUCAUUUCAAUUAGGUAUCAUGUGAUCAAGUUACGAGCUUUUGAAGUUUGGUAUAUGAUUUGACUUUCUGAUGUGAUGGAUCUUGCUUUUGAAUUCUAUUCGUCUCUUACUCAUAAUGGUCAAAGUAGUAUAGGUCGAAUCCAGAGAUCCUCCUGGAUC
rnacentral:lncRNA from 1 species